rnacentral:rRNA from 1 species
GAUGAACGCUGGCGGAAUGCUUUACACAUGCAAGUCGAGCGGCAGCGCGGUCUUCGGACUGGCGGCGAGCGGCGAACGGGUGAGUAAUACAUCGGAACAUGCCCAGUCGUGGGGGAUAACACUUCGAAAGAAGUGCUAAUACCGCAUACGUCCUGAGGGAGAAAGCGGGGGAUCGUAAGACCUCGCGCGAUUGGAGUGGCCGAUGUCAGAUUAGCUAGUUGGUGGGGUAAAGGCCUACCAAGGCAACGAUCUGUAGCUGGUCUGAGAGGAUGAUCAGCCACACUGGGACUGAGACACGGCCCAGACUCCUACGGGAGGCAGCAGUGGGGAAUUUUGGACAAUGGGGGCAACCCUGAUCCAGCCAUUCCGCGUGAGUGAAGAAGGCCUUCGGGUUGUAAAGCUCUUUCGGCAGGAACGAAACGGCGAGCUCUAACAUAGCUCGCUAAUGACGGUACCUGAAGAAGAAGCACCGGCUAACUACGUGCCAGCCGCCGCAGUAAGAC